AGAAGAAGAAGAAGAAGAAGAAAUUAAAUCAACAAAGAUAGGAGAGCACGAGACCGCACUCAACAUCAUCACCACCUCCUCUUAGUUAGGGGGCUUCACUACGAAUUGGCUUAACAUCACUCAACACCAGCGUUCCAAAAUCAAUCACACUAUAUCUUGAACCAUGCUUAUGAUUCAAAAUGGAAGAGUAAGAGAAUUGAAGGGACCCAGUAAUCAAUGAAUUGAACCACAUUUAUUUACCUUGAAAUGUUUCAUGAUGGAAAAUUGAACAGAUCCAAAAACCAAUAAUGGGUGUAAAAGAAGAAGAAAGACCACUGGAUUGGAUGAGAGUGAGACUCGGGCGACGCUAUGGAAAGGAUAAGAAGAGAGUGAAUGAAAUGACCCAAACAACCACAUGCCAUUUUGAAAGAGCUAGGUUCUGUAAGAAGGUUGAGACGCGAUUUGAGAGAUGGGUUCUAUAAACAUAUGAAGGAGCUGGGUUCUAUAAACAUAUGAAGGA
rnacentral:misc_RNA from 1 species